UGGCGACAACAGGGUGAGACAGGGCACUGCCUUCUCCUCUUCUACCCAAGCCCCCUUCCCUCUUUUCUCCUGCAGUCAGACACAUCUCACGUCAAAUCCCACCACCUGGCAGCUGUGUGAUCUCGGGCAGGUUAUGUAACCUCUCUGGGCCUCGGUUCUGCAUGUGGAAAAUAGGAAUUUUAGCAGUCCCCACUUCGCACCACCAUCAUGAAGCUGAAAGGAAAUAACACACACUGAGCCCUCCGCCACGCCGUCCGCCCAGGGUUUCCUGCCCUGCUUUGGGGGCAGUGCCUGUCGGCUAUGAUUGCUGUCAUAACUGUCAUCUCAAGAGGUACGUGCCCAGUACCAGGCCCUGUUCAUGGUACUGGAGACGCAGGGCCGAGCUUGGAGCCAGAGAACAAACAGGCUCAAAAUGGGGGGCUCCCUUCUUCCUCCACUCCAGUCCCUCAGAGAUGCCAGUGGAAGCCCACGGCCUUCGGGGUGUGGAAACUACUGCGGCACAGAGAGGUGGAAACCGAGGCUUCUGUGUCUUUAGCUCAGUCAGGAACCUUCGGGAAGCGUGUUCACAUGAGGACUAGGGCGGACCAGGUCUGGACAGGCCUGACACUCCGCCUGCUGGUCCAGAGAACGGAGCUGCCCCCAGCCCCAGGCUCACCUGUGCAAGAGGGUGGGAGAGAAACUGGGCAGGGGGUAGAGGGGGGCGGCUCUAGAAGAAUCACAAAGUUACCCUAGUGCACCAGGGUUCUGCUCUGUAAACUGAGGCAGAGACGCUGUCCCACCCCCAUGACCACCCCACACCCCAGCCGAGCGCCAGGCUGGCAGAACUGAGGGCACGUGGGCGGAGGGGCGGGUCAGCUGAGCCCGGACCGAGGGGUCCUGCAAGCGACAGAGGCGGAGAAGCAGCCAGAGGUUGACGCAGCACCGGCGGCCUCGCCACAUUCCCCUCCAUUGUUCCGGGGAGAGCGGCGGGUCCGCGAGGGAGGGGAGGGGGGGAGAGG